CAGAUUGAACGCUGGCGGCGUGCUUAACACAUGCAAGUCGCGCGUGAAAGGACUUCGGUCCGAGUAAAGCGGCGCACGGGUGAGUAACGCGUGGAUGAUCUACCCAUGAGUUAGGAAUAACGGCUGGAAACGGUCGCUAAUACCAAAUACGCUCCGAUUUCAACUUCGGGGGAAAGGUGGCCUCUGCUUGCAAGCUACUGCUCAUGGAUGAGUCCGCGUCCCAUUAGCUAGUUGGUGGGGUAACGGCCCACCAAGGCGACGAUGGGUAGCCGGUCUGAGAGGAUGACCGGCCACACUGGGACUGGAACACGGCCCAGACUCCUACGGGAGGCAGCAGUGGGGAAUAUUGCGCAAUGGGCGAAAGCCUGACGCAGCGACGCCGCGUGAGGGAUGAAGGUCCUCGGAUCGUAAACCUCUGUCAGGAGGGAAGAACCGCCACGAUGCUAAUCAGCCGUGGUCUGACGGUACCUCCAAAGGAAGCACCGGCUAACUCCGUGCCAGCCGCCGC
rnacentral:rRNA from 1 species